GGGCUGUUGCUGGUCCUCAAUGGGGACAUGUGCACGCUCUGUUUACACAUCCACUCACACCUGUGCACCCUCUGUAGUUUUACGGUAUGGGGGACCCUGUCUUCCUUCCGUAGUUCUACGUCUUUACACACACGCUGUAAUAAAGUCUUAUGGAAUGUAUGCCGCGUCUAACGCAAAACAAUACAACUUUCAGCAACGGAUCUCUUGGCUCUCGCAUCGAUGAAGAACGCAGCGAAAUGCGAUAAGUAAUGUGAAUUGCAGAAUUCAGUGAAUCAUCGAAUCUUUGAACGCACCUUGCGCCCCUUGGAUAUUCCGAGGGGCAUGCCUGUUUGAGUAUCAUGAACACCUCAACUCUCAUGGUUUGCCAUGACGAGCUUGGAACUUGGGGGUUUUGCUGGCCUGUGGUCGGCUCCUCUCAAAUGAAUCAGCCUCCCAGUGUUUGGUGGCAUCACGGGUGUGAUAACUAUCUACGCUCGCGGUUGUCCACCAGGUAACCUUUGGUGACAAAGGUUCGCUGGAGCUCACAGAUGUCUCUCCUCAGCGAGGACAGCUUUUUAACGUUCGAUCUCAAAUCAGGUAGGACUACCCGCUGAACUUAAGCAUAUCAAUAAGCGGAGGAAAAGAAACUAACAAGGAUUCCCCUAGUAACUGCGAGUGAAGCGGGAAGAGCUCAAAUUUAAAAUCUGGCGUGCCUCUGGUCGUCCGAGUUGUAGUCUAGAGAAGUGUUUUCCUGCUGGACCGUGUAC
rnacentral:rRNA from 1 species